CCCGGUGCGUCCACAGCCCGGGAGGGGAGGCGGCCGCUGCGGCUCCCGCACGCAGACUGCUUGCGGCCCGGGUCUCGCGCUCCCUCGCGAGCCCCGCGGCCCCUACCCCGGGCCCAUCUCCGUAUACUGUCAGAAAAAUAAAUAAAGGAAAGAGGAGCCUGGGCAGGCGGUCGGGAUCUCUUCCCUCCCUCCGCGCCCGCCCUCCCUCUGUCCUUAAGGAAAUGCUACCAGACACCCCCCACCAGACACGCUCAGCCUUGGCGAGGAGCGGCCGCCGCGGCAGCGAGAACAAGGGCACCAGGGGGGUUUCCUCCUCCUCCUCCUCUCCCUCCUCUUCCUCCUUCUCCUCUCCGUCCUCCUCCUCCUCCUUCUCAGCGGUGACUUUCCAGGGUAUUACUAAGAAUAUGAGGCAGGCAGAAGGAGAGCGGUGUAGAAAUGGAAUUUUGAGGGUCUUUGGAAGAUGCAGGUGCCCUCCUUCCUUAUUCAGGGUAAGCUUUCCUAGAGGCCUUUUUCCAGGAGGGUCGGAUUUUGGUUUUGAGUGGGCGGCAUCUUCAGUAUCAGUUCAGACCGUAAUUCUUUCUUUCUUUCUUUCUUUUUUUUUUUUUUAAGAUUUUAUUUAUUUAUUUGACAGAUCACAAGUAGGCAGAGAGGCAGGCAGAGAGAGAGGGGAAGCAGGCCCCCUGCUGAGCAGAAAGCCUGAUUCAG
rnacentral:lncRNA from 1 species